GAUGAACGCUGGCGGCGUGCCUAAUACAUGCAAGUCGAGCGAACGGACGAGAAGCUUGCUUCUCUGAUGUUAGCGGCGGACGGGUGAGUAACACGUGGAUAACCUACCUAUAAGACUGGGAUAACUUCGGGAAACCGGAGCUAAUACCGGAUGAUAUUUUGAACCGCAUGGUUCAAAAGUGAAAGACGGUCUUGCUGUCACUUAUAGAUGGAUCCGCGCUGCAUUAGCUAGUUGGUAAGGUAACGGCUUACCAAGGCAACGAUGCAUAGCCGACCUGAGAGGGUGAUCGGCCACACUGGAACUGAGACACGGUCCAGACUCCUACGGGAGGCAGCAGUAGGGAAUCGUCCGCAAUGGGCGAAAGCCUGACGGAGCAGCGCCGCGUGAGUGAUGAAGGUCUUCGGAGCGUAAAACUCUGUUAUUAGGGAAGAACAUAUGUGUAAGUAGCUGUGCACAUCUUGACGGUACCUAAUCAGAAAGCCACGGCUAACUACGUG
rnacentral:rRNA from 1 species